GACGUAGGGCGCGAGCGUUGUCCGGAUUUAUUGGGCGUAAAGAGCUCGUAGGCGGUCUGUCGCGUCGAAUGUGAAAACCCGGGGCUCAACCCCGGGCCUGCAUUCGAUACGGGCAGACUAGAGUUCGGUAGGGGAGUCUGGAAUUCCUGGUGUAGCGGUGAAAUGCGCAGAUAUCAGGAGGAACACCGGUGGCGAAGGCGGGACUCUGGGCCGAUACUGACGCUGAGGAGCGAAAGCGUGGGGAGCGAACAGG
rnacentral:rRNA from 1 species